rnacentral:rRNA from 1 species
GUCUACAGCCAUGCCACCCUGAACGUGCCUGAUCCCAUCUGAUCUCAGAAGCUAAGCAGGGUCAGGCCUGGCUAGUACUUAGAGGGGAGACCACCUAGGAAUACCAGGUGCUGUAGGCG